rnacentral:tRNA from 1 species
GUAAUUAUAGUUUAAUAAAAACAUUAGAUUGUGGUUCUAAAAACAAAAGUUAAAAUCUUUUUAAUUACC